GGUAACGUGGCCGAGUUGGUCUAAGGCGCUAGUUUCAGGUAGUUCUUUACUAGUCUCUUCGGGGGCGUGAGUUCGAAUCUCACCGUUGCCA